GACGAACGCUGGCGGCGUGCUUAACACAUGCAAGUCGAACGGAAAGGCCCUGCUUUUGUGGGGUGCUCGAGUGGCGAAAGGGUGAGUAACACGUGAGUAACCUGCCCUUGACUUUGGGAUAACUUCAGGAAACUGGGGCUAAUACCGGAUAGGAGCUCCUGCUGCAUGGUGGGGGUUGGAAAGUUUCGGCGGUUGGGGAUGGACUCGCGGCUUAUCAGCUUGUUGGUGGGGUAGUGGCUUACCAAGGCUUUGACGGGUAGCCGGCCUGAGAGGGUGACCGGCCACAUUGGGACUAGGAUACGGCCCAGACUCCUACGGGAGGCAGCAGUGAGGAAUAUUGCACAAUGGGCGGAAGCCUGAUGCAGCAACGCCGCGUGCGGGAUGACUGCCUUCGGGUUGUAAACCGCUUUCGCCUGUGACGAAGCGUGAGUGACGGUAAUGGGUAAAGGAGCACCGGCUAACUACGUG
rnacentral:rRNA from 1 species